CUCCAUGCCAAUAAAUUUUUUUCUCCUUAUAUAUAUCAUAUUUUGAGGAGAUUUUUGUAAAAAAUUAGUUAGAGAACUAAUUUAUUAUAAAAAAAUAUGAAAAAGAGUAUCCCAUAUUUUUUUGAUAUAUUUUGGGAUAUAGAAUUUUGAAGGAAGGUGGAAUCCUGUAAGAGUCCAGGAUCACUAGGACUCUUCACCCCACCUUCUUACAUGUC
rnacentral:lncRNA from 1 species